UACAGAGGGUGCGAGCGUUAAUCGGACUUACUGGGCGUAAAGCGCACGUAGGUGGCGACGUAAGUCGGGUGUGAAAGCCCCGGGCUCAACCUGGGAAUUGCAUUCGAGACUGCAUUGCUGGAGUACGGAAGAGGAGGGCGGAAUUCCCGGUGUAGCGGUGAAAUGCGUAGAUAUCGGGAGGAACAUCAGUGGCGAAGGCGGCCCUCUGGUCCAGUACUGACACUCAAGUGAGAAAGCGUGGGGAGCAAAUAGG
rnacentral:rRNA from 1 species